ACAUGCCUACACCAUAGAGUCAAUGCAUUGAAUCCCAUUAGAACUCUGCAGUUAAGCACACUCAGGUGAGAGUAGUACUGGGAUGGGUGACCACUCGGGAAGUCCUAGUGUUUUACAUGCC
rfam:Picea glauca, whole genome shotgun sequence.